rnacentral:rRNA from 1 species
GACGAACGCUGGCGGCGUGCUUAACACAUGCAAGUCGAACGGAACGCCCUUGAAAGAGACUUCGGUCAAUGGAUUGGGUUGUUUAGUGGCGGACGGGUGAGUAACGCGUGAGGAACCUGCCUUUCAGAGGGGGACAACAGUUGGAAACGACUGCUAAUACCGCAUGACGCGUAGAGGUCGCAUGAUCUUUACGCCAAAGAUUUAUCGCUCUGAGAUGGCCUCGCGUCUGAUUAGCUAGUAGGCGGGGUAACGGCCCACCUAGGCGACGAUCAGUAGCCGGACUGAGAGGUUGACCGGCCACAUUGGGGACUGAGACACGGCCCAG